UUUUCCAACAGCACCACUCGUUGGCUGGUGUCCGUUUUACAGAUGAGGACACUGAGGAAGUUUCUCACGACUUCACAUCACCCUGACGGGACGUGGGGCUGACGGCGAAGGGUCUCUGAGCCGUGUUAGAACAGCGAUGUCAUCCCGUGCGCUCUUUGUCAUCAGUUGGGCAGACACGCUCGUAAGAUGGUUUGCAGGCACGUGGGGCCUGGGGUGUCCGUGGGCUGGGUGCAACCUGGCCAUCCCCACUUCUCAUUCAUGGGUCGCACCAGCCCCUGUCUCCAAUCAGCUUAGCAAGAAUAGAUCUUCUGCCUCAAAGAGAGAAGGAAGCCGCCGUGAAAGACAGAGGUCAAUUGCACAUUGCUUUCUUCGUUUGCCUGCUGAUGAUAAAAGAAGGUGUAGCCCCCUGAUUUAAAGAGAUACUAAUUUGGGCUUCACAAAAGAAUAGCUGAUGAGAGCAAGCUUCUCAAACACACAGCUCUGGCCUUCCGGCCAGAAUAAUUUAUCUCAAAGCUUUCUCCAGUUGUGGCGAGUGGGGCUGCUCUCUCCUGCGGUCACAGGCGUGUCGCUGUGGGGCGUCUCUUGGUGUGGAGAACGGGCUUCAGCAGUUGCGGCACCCAGGCUCAGCUGCCCCAAGAUGCACAGGAUCUUCCCCGACCAGCGAUGGAACCCGUGUCCCCUGCACUGGCGGGUGGAUGCUCAGCCACGGGGCCGCCAGGGGAGCCCUGCUGCAUCUUAACUCCCCUGCUCAGUACACUGUGGCGCAAAGUAGCUUCGUUGUCAGCUUGUGGAUCAAGCAGCCUGUUAAGCUGUUUGGUGGGCCUGUUUCAUGCCAUCUCUUGCCGUCCUGCAUCAGACGCUCACGGGGCAGCUAUGGCGUGUCAGGCAGCAGGUUGCUGGCGUUGCAGUGCCAGGUUACAACCACAGUGUGGAUGAGACCGUGGGGGCUCCUGGUAGACAAGAGGGGAGCACCCCCACCCCAGCUUCAUUCUUAAGAUCUCUAACUCAGGUGCCUCUAAGGUGUGCAGAGUGGGGUGCCCAGAACUGGCCAAGUAGUGAACCGUUAACCUCGCAGCCUUGUAAGGGUCUUAGGACUGUCUGGUCCGUACUUUUAAUUAUUUUUUUAGCAGCAGUGUCCCACUUGGAACUUAGAGCUAAAAUACUGAGCUAAUCAGUUCGGUGUUGCCCUGGGGUCUUGCCGCCUCCCAUCUCCAGGUACCCUGGCAGAUGCUGUGGAAAAUGCAAAUCCAACCUGGCUCAGACAGUAGAGAAUCUGCCUGCAAUGCAGGACACCCAGGUUCGAUCCCUGGGUUGGGGAGAUCUGCUGGAGAAGAGCGUUGGGAACCCACUCCAGUGUUCUUGCCUGGAGAUCCCAUGGACAGAGGAGCCUGGCGGGCUGCAGUCCAUGGGGUUGCAGAGUCUGACACGACUGAGCAACCAUCACCUCACUCCACCUCUCAGAUGCAGGGAGGAAGCCCAGCCUCUGGGAGGGAGACGACUCAUCUGAGCCCACGCAGCGGGUGGGGCCGGGGCAGCCCCAGGAUGUGAGGGUUUCCACUUUUACCUCCAUGUCCAUCUGUUUGGUUUUGCAUCUCACAGAUCCUGACCUGUUUAUCUGUCUGUCCCCUGGUGGGGAUGGGAAAGACCCUGGAGGCUGCAUGAAUCCUUCUUGGCUGUGGCUUCCCGGGUUCCACACCCAGACUGGCCCACGCUUGUCCUACAGCAGUUUGUUCAAAAUUCAG
ensembl:lncRNA